AACCAGGGCACGAUAUGAGAAAGGAAUUGGAAUUGAGAGAAAAGAGAGAGAGAAGAGCAGAUGUGGCGGGGAAGCAGCGCCGGUGACCGGCGUAACGGCGACCUCGCCGGUCUUCCAGAUGCGGCGGCUUUCUCAAAGGGGGAGAGAGGAAUUGAAGAGAGAGUGAGGAGAAUGAAGGCUGCGUGAAAGAAGAAGAGGAGAGAGAGAGUGAAUUGUUAAUUCAACUAAUUCUAUCUUAAUUUUUGUCAAAAAUGGAAAGGAGACAUGAAUAUUGGGACGGCCCAAAAAGGAAUAGGAGACUUGAAUAUUGGGACGGAGGGAGUAUAACAAACUAAGGAAAUAAUAUAAAACUAACCUAAUCUCCUAACUAAAGUGGCGUGAAAGCCUUAACUAAUUAAAUCUAAUUCUAAUAAGGCCCAAACUAACAAAAUAAAAACCAAAGGUGGCGCAUGGCCCAAAAUCAAUAAACUAAAAGUGCGUGUGGGCUUGUGAUCAAAAAGAGAAAAUAGCUCAGCCCAAAUCAACAUGGCAGCCCAAAUUCUUUCUUCUCGCCAAUUUAGCCUUCAAUCCAUGUAGUUCAAUCCACGCCCAGGCAGAAUGGGCACACCGUCCAGUACACAAUGCGGCAUCUUUCGUUCUUCACAGCUUUCGACUUCAAAACUCCUCUCAAAAUCAAUACUUUUCUCCAAAACCUAUCAAAUACCAUCAAAAUUCAUAUAAGACCAAAAUCAUAUCCUAAAGAUGAUAUUUAAUACGAAUUAAACACAAAAAUCAUACUAAAAUCCCCCAAAUAAAUGCGUAUAAAUACGCCCAAUCAAAUCCCCCCACACUUAAACAAAGCUCGCCCUCGAGCACCAAAAAGAACAAAACGACAGGGAAGGAACAAAAGAAGACUCAAAACAGCAAAAACAAAGCUUUGGCAACAAUAUGAUAGAUAAUAUUCAAAGUCUUGAUCAAGAUACAAUCAUCCACAAACCACUAACCAUGCUCUUGCUCAAAAAUCAUGCCAUGUUCUUCAUUCAAGUCAAAAUUGUGCAAAUUCAAUCCUGCCUCACCAAGUUCACUCAAUUUCUCUCAAAAGACAAAUAUGGACAGAAUAGAUUCACACAAUUCACAACUUUAUGCCUUCAAACACAGCUUGCCCUUAUGUCACUAUCUCCACCAAAAUAUGGAACCAAUGCACAAAUCAAAAGGUCUUGCAAUUUGGUUGUAAUGGGGCU
rnacentral:lncRNA from 1 species